AUUGAACGCUGGCGACAUGCCUUACACAUGCAAGUCGAACGGUAACAGGUCUUCGGAUGCUGACGAGUGGCGAACGGGUGAGUAAUACAUCGGAGCGUGCCCGAUCGUGGGGGAUAACGAGGCGAAAGCUUUGCUAAUACCGCAUACGAUCUACGGAUGAAAGCGGGGGAUCUUCGGACCUCGCGCGGACGGAGCGGCCGAUGGCAGAUUAGGUAGUUGGUGGGAUAAAAGCUUACCAAGCCGACGAUCUGUAGCUGGUCUGAGAGGAUGAUCAGCCACACUGGGACUGAGACACGGCCCAGACUCCUACGGGAGGCAGCAGUGGGGAAUUUUGGACAAUGGGCGAAAGCCUGAUCCAGCCAUGCCGCGUGCAGGAUGAAGGCCUUUGGGUUGUAAACUGCUUCUGUACGGAACGAAAAGCCUCUUUCUAAUAAAGAGGGGUCAUGACGGUACCGUAAGAAUAAGCACCGGCUAACUACGUG
rnacentral:rRNA from 1 species